rnacentral:rRNA from 1 species
UACGGAGGGGGCAAGCGUUGUUCGGAUUUACUGGGCGUAAAGGGCGCGUAGGCGGCGUGACAAGUCACUUGUGAAAUCUCCGGGCUUAACUCGGAAUGGUCAAGUGAUACUGUUGUGCUAGAGUGCAGAAGAGGCAAGUGGAAUUCCCGGUGUAGCGGUGAAAUGCGCAGAUAUCGGGAGGAACACCAAUGGCGAAGGCAGCUUGCUGGGACGGUACUGACGCUGAGACGCGAAAGCGUGGGGAGCAAACAGG